rnacentral:rRNA from 1 species
UUCUGGUUGAUCCUGCCGGACCUGACUGCUAUCGUAUUGGUACUAAGCCAUGCGAGUCGUUGUACAAUACAAGGCGGACUGCUCAGUAACACGUAGUUAACUUAACCUAUGGAUGGGAAUAACCUCGGGAAACUGAGAAUAAUACCCAAUGGGCCACAGUGCCUGGAAUGGCCUGUGGUUGAAAUGAUUUAUCGCCGUAGGAUAGGACUGCGGCCUAUCAGCUUGUUGGUGAGGUAAUGGCCCACCAAGGCUAUAACAGGUACGGGCUCUGAGAGGAGGGGCCCGGAGAUGGGUACUGAGACACGGACCCAGGCCCUAUGGGGCGCAGCAGGCGAGAAACCUUUGCAAUGUGCGAAAGCACGACAAGGUUAAUCCGAGUGUCUCCUGCUAAAGGAGUCUUUUGUCAGUUGUAGAAUCACUGGUGAAUAAGGGGUGGGCAAGUUCUGGUGUCAGCCGCCGCGGUAAAACCAGCACCUCGAGUGGUCAGGAGGUUUAUUGGGCCUAAAGCAUCCGUAGCCGGUUGCAUAAGUUUUCGGUUAAAUCUAUGCGCUUAACGUAUAGGCCGCCGAAAACACUGUGCAGCUAGGGAGUGGGAGAGGUCACGGUACUCGAUAGGAAGG